UACAGAGGGGGCAAGCGUUGUUCGGAAUUACUGGGCGUAAAGGGCGCGUAGGCGGCCUUCUAAGUCGAACGUGAAAUCCCUGGGCUCAACCCAGGAACUGCGUCCGAUACUGGAAGGCUUGAAUCCGGGAGAGGGAUGCGGAAUUCCAGGUGUAGCGGUGAAAUGCGUAGAUAUCUGGAGGAACACCGGUGGCGAAGGCGGCAGCCUGGACCGGUAUUGACGCUGAGGCGCGAAAGCCAGGGGAGCAAACGGG
rnacentral:rRNA from 1 species